GGGGAAUAUUGGACAAUGGGCGAAAGCCUGAUCCAGCCAUGCCGCGUGAGUGAUGAAGGCCCUAGGGUUGUAAAGCUCUUUCACCGGUGAAGAUAAUGACGGUAACCGGAGAAGAAGCCCCGGCUAACUUCGUGCCAGCAGCCGCGGUAAUACGAAGGGGGCUAGCGUUGUUCGGAAUUACUGGGCGUAAAGCGCACGUAGGCGGACUAUUAAGUCAGGGGUGAAAUCCCGGGGCUCAACCCCGGAACUGCCUUUGAUACUGGUAUUCUCGAGUCCGGAAGUGGUGAGUGGAAUUCCGAGUGUAGAGGUGAAAUUCGUAGAUAUUCGGAGGAACACCAGUGGCGAAGGCGGCUCACUGGUCCGGUACUGACGCUGAGGUGCGAAAGCGUGGGGAGCAAAC
rnacentral:rRNA from 1 species